rnacentral:snRNA from 1 species
AUAUUUUGGUUUCUCUUCAGAUCUUAUUAAACUUUCACCUUUCACAAAAGAUUUCUGUGAAGAGGAAUAUUUUUUAUUCGUAACCAAUUUUUUGAGGCCUUGCU